CAAGAAACACAGAUUGAUUUAACCAGUUAUUUCCAACAAGGCCGCAAACUGGUAGCAGGCUGCGCUGGCUAACAUGCUGCCAAUAGAUUACUGCUGAAUAUUAAUCAAAUAACUUCUUCUGCCCUCAUCACUCACAUAAUCCCUUGAUCUGUGCUGUUAUUUAAGCAUUUCCUAGGGCCGUUUUUUGCAAUAGAGAUUCUUUGGAGUUCAUCACUGUGUUAAAGAGGUUGAGGACCUAUUUUUGAAUUAAUCAGAAUAUGUUAGCUGACCUGAAAGGUUCCAGAUAACACAAACUACAUAUUAUAUUUCAAUAUUGAAAAUUAAAUAUCCAUUAAAUGAAGUGCAGACGCCAAUUUACAUGCAAUAUGUUCUGGUGUGUGUUUUCAAGAGCUUAUUUCCUUGUCAUGUGAAGACACUUGACGCUUUCUCCCUCAGCCCAUCAUCUUGUUUUGAAGGCCUUCAAUUCUUGAAAACGAUUAAUAAAUCAAUACAGCAUAAAAUCUGAUGCGAUUAAUUGAACACUAUCAAUGCCAUACUAAGAGUAUAUUACAAUUUUACAAGCUUGGAAAAGUCACACACUUGAUAAUUAUGUGAACUUGAAAAGCGAGCUGAAGGGCUGAAUCUUGAUAUCUUUUAUUAUGUGUAAAGAAGAGGACUUGAAAAAAACUAAAUACAAAAGCAAUGAUGAGGUCACCAGUGGGUACUCCAAACGAAGCUUUCACGUGGGGGCUUUUAGAAGGGGGUGUUUUAAUGUGUGUCCAGGUUGGUGUGUAUCUGGGUUGGUCAGUGUGUGUGUGUGUGUGUGUGUGUGUGUGUGUGUUUUGAGCUCUUCAGACUUCUACAAGAAUUCCCUAUUGUUGUAACAAAAAAAUAACCCUUAGUUGGGCCUUGUGCUUUGACUCUCACACACACGUGCAUGUUCCGAGACACACACCCACACACACACACACACGCACAACAGCUGUGCGGGUUGUCAUUUGUCCUGCUUGUUUUUCUUCUGAUUGCGGGGAAGUUGCGGUGCAACUCUCAAUGCAGGUUUUGCGAGUGAGCGUGUGUGCCAUGUGGAACCGUUCUCAGUGUCCACUCGGCACGGGGACUAAUUUGCAUUCCUUUGUGUAUGAAUAAAGGACACCUAUUCGGAGGACAGAGUUUACCAGCUGCCAUCCAGGACUAGUCCUUAUUAGAGCCCUGCUGUUCCUCUGAGAACGCCAGCACAUGUUUAACACACGCUGCAGCUCACACACGGGCACACACACACACCCCCACACACACACACACUCACACACACUCACUCAAGGACACGUGCACCCCCACAGUCAUGAUCUAUUCAUACACAAAUGAAAACACACCAACACAGAUGCAGAGGGAGAAACAAACACACACUUCACAUUUAGACACUUGCACAGGGUUUUGAGCUGUGAUUACCAGCAACAGAGGUAAUGCUCUGGAGGCAUCAAUGAAAGGGCAAAAGGUCACCGUCUCGCACAAGCCACUGUUUGUUUUAUUUUAUACAAUCGCUCUGUUUUUGGGGAUACAUUUAUUGACAUUUUCCAAAUUAGAACCAUUUAAAGUUUGCUGAAUUAGCUCGUAGCAGUUCCUGUCUGCGUUGCACCCAUAGAUGUACACACAACUAUCCCAGAUAAAAUGAUUAUUGUCAGAGAAGCUUUUCUUUGCAAACAUUGAACAUCAGGGAAUCAUCACAAAGUAAAAACCACACUAAAUGAUAUCAAUAUGUGUGUUCAUUAUGUCUUUCUUAUGUCUUACCCUAAAAUCUGUGCAGUGUCCAGUCUAAACUCAUCCCGGUUCUCAUGAGGUGCCAGCAUGAAAGUACUUACAGCUCACAAACAAGGCUAAAUCAAAAAGAAAUAAAAUAGUUUACUCAUCAGGAACAACAUUUGAUCCCUUCUUUACAAACCAACUGUGCACUCUAGCAGACUAGUCCACUGCAACAGGUCUGUCUAAUGCAACAAACCGACUGCUUCAGUGGAGGCGAGAGGUUCGGCAUGCUGGUGUCUCGCAAAUCAACUUAAAAUCCCUGACCCGUUUAGGUCGAAGACACUUAUCCGACCUGCUGACCUAUGCUUAACCCCGCACACCUCUUAGGUCGACUGGAUUUAGUUUACCUGCUUUUUACAGAACUAAUGAGUCAAAACUAAAGACGACGAAGCUGCUCAAUGUAGGACCAUUUCCAGAAGAGCCAAGACUUCAGACAAUCCUGACUACUCCCAAAUCCAAGCUAAAGAAUCAGGAUUCAUUGUUUUACUCUGAGUGCAUGCCUGUUUGUGACGCCCUGAUUCGAUUUUUUGUGUGCUUUUACUCAUUGAUGUUUGUUGGCUGUGCUUUUAAAGCCCAUCGGCUAGCUUUUGGUUAUGAAGUGUGCCACUAGAAUACAUUUUUCUCAUCUUGCUUUACUUGUCCAUCCAAAGGAGCUAUGGAAAAUAAAGAGAGAAUGUUAAAGCAUUGAUUUAUGAAACACAUAUAUUACAAUAGUAUGAUGUAAGUAUCUUGCAUGCAAAUGAUUAGGAAUAAAAUACCGUGCCUUACUUUAAAAGACUGAGGGAGGAAACAAAUUGCAACAAACAGCAACAAUUUUCAUGGGCAAUUUGUCCAUAGAAAGCAAACUGCUACGCACUCCACCUUUAACUUUUAAUUAUCAAUGAGGAUUGUCAGAGGCACAAUUCUGAUGUAAUUGUACUAUUGAGCUGCAGUAGGAGGUCUAUCAGUGUCACUUGCUGCCACUUCUCUGAAUGUAGAUGACUGUUAGAUUAGCGGCUGAUUUGGGGAAUAAAAGAAAAAAACAAAUUGUUCAAUUUAGGCUAAUUAGAACAGAAAAAUGAAGACGCUGACCAGCUCGGCCUUGGCUUGAAUACCUAAUUACAGAGUGGAGAGAAUAUCCAGCUCGCUCUCCAAAAUUACAGUCAGGUUUAACAAACGGACUCCGACCCUGACCAUGUGAGGGGACGGACGCUCAAAUUGUAUAUUUUAUGCUGCUGAUAAAAAGCAUCCACACGUCCUCCUGAGCUCAUCUAUCCACGUGUGUGUGUGUGUGUGUGUGUGUGUGUGUGUGUGUGUGUGUGUGAAGUGGUUGCGGAUAUUCAGGUCCACAUAAUGUGUUUCUCUGCCAAUCUCAUCCCACUAUUGAUGGAGCUUCCUUUACGCCAGUUCCUCAUUUAUAUAUUUGGCAUUAAUUUCAUCUCUGUUAAUUGUUAUCUGUUAAAUAGAGAGUUAGUGUGGCGUGCGGCAAGCGAGGACCACAGCGGCUCCAGAAAAGGUGGCACCAAGCUAACGCUCUAGCACGCUCCGGGGUGCUUUAAUAAUAAAUCAUCUUAGAAACCACAGAAAUGCUAAUGUUUCUUAUUAUGCGGCAGACAUGCGGGUCAGUGAAUAAGCAGGGAUGAGUUUCCACAUACGUUGUUUAAAAAAAUACACAUUUUUCCUGAUAACUUAGCCCACUGAUGUUUUUUGAUUUCAUACAAGUGGCCUUUUCCCAGUAAAAACAAAAAAGGACUCAAAUGUAGCAGAACAGAUGGAUUCUGAUGAUCCAAGGGACACGUCUGGCUGGAAGCGUCCCUUCCAUUAUUAGAUACAAACCAUUACAUAGAACUCAGACUUUUAGCUUGUGGCAACAUCAAAGCCGCAAAAGAUUAAUUAGAAUCCCUCGAUCCAAAUUCAUGUAAUUAAAGAUGAUCUUUGAACCGCCGAGAAGAUGUAAAUGGGAGGCAGUCAUUAGGCUAAACCUAUUCUUCUAUUCACAGGCUAAAGGUGGUAUGGAACCGCGAGGUAAAUAGACUGUUUCCUCGGCUCAGUAUUAUUUUUUUUCUUCUUUUACCAUUACUCCGAUUGUUGGAUAAUGCUAUCUGAGAGAGGGGCUAUGUGAUGGAGUAUGACCGCUGUCACAAUACAGACAACAGAAAGGCUUGGUGAAAAAUGUAAUUUCCCCUUUUCUGUGGAGCUGCAGCAAAGGGGGAGGAAAAAAAAUGAACCGGGCAGAAUUAUUUGCCUGCAACUACUAGAGCUUGUGGUAAUUACUAUAAUGAUGUCUCCAAGUCAAGGCACAGCCAGUGCUGCGAUCACAUAGUAGCUGAUCAGAAAAUUCAAAUUUCAGGGGGCACACAGGCAGCGACUGUCAUCUCAUUAAUGCACGCUAAAUGAGGAGAAAUGACAGCAGGGUUUGUAUCGGCCUUUCACAGAUAUGAAGUGCGGUAAACAUCUUUUUUUUUAUUGCAUUUUUAUAAAUUAUACCGAGGCUUGUGUGUUGAACAUAAUAUCUUUUAUAUGUCCUGGAUAAAUAGACCACUUGUGUGACUGAUAUAAUAAUUAUUGUAUCUUUGCACCACAGCUGUGUUACUGAGAACUGGUUUCAUGUCAUUCUUAUUGGAAUAUUAUUGUUGUUGACAAUGACACACAUAUUUUGAUUGCUUAAAUUUUGGGUUUUUAGUAUUUAAAAAAGGUUUUGAAACACGUUUAAGAUACUAUUUAAAGAAAAAAUUAAUAGAUAUAUUUUAAAAUAAAAUAAUCCUUCUUAGCAUCAGAGUCUGUAUAUCACAAAAAAACCUGCAUGACUAGGGGCUCCGAUGUAUCAGAUAGAUAAUGGUUAAACUAUUAGCUAACAAACUAUUUUAACUGGCACAUGAAAUGUUAAUGUAUAUUAAAUAAAUCAGUUUAGCAUUUUACGAAUGCAUCUUGGUAGCAUUUAAUGAUGUGGAAGCAAGGACCUGGCUACAUAGCUAUUGUAGUUAGCUAGAGGUUGUUGUAGGGCUCAGGGCUCAGUUUGUCUGUGCCUCAUUGUGUCUGUGUCUUGUUUCUCAGAUUGGCAGAAGAAUAAUGACCAUACUUUCAUUUUCCCAAACAUUUUUCCUGCAAAACAAUAAAAUUAUAAUCCCAAUAUUCUUUUAAUCCUGUGUACAGGAAACCAGCCAUACACCUACAAUACCGUCAUAGCUGCAGAAGGUGUGAUAGAAGGUCAUUUUUAAUUAUUUGGUUAUUGUUAUUCUAUUCACCGUGUACAUCAAAUCAAAACUGUGAUAUAAGAAAACCUUUACAAUCCAACCAGAGCUCUACAUUUAUAACAGAUCUCUCAAAACUGCAGUUGUUCUCAGAGUGGAGGAAAUGGGAUUUUGGGAGAGCUGAGAAACGCAGGAUGUGACCAGCCAAAACUAGGAAAACAUUUCUCAGCAAACGGCGCCUUGUGACCGAAAGCCAUUUCUUUGUGACUCUGCGACUGUCCCGAGAAGACAUGGUGGACAUGCAGGGACAUGGCGAUACGCACAGAUGUUCCCCCUCAUAUCCACGAGCGUGUGACCACAGCCACUGGUUCGCUUACGCAGCUUGCCUCUUGGUCCUCCCGCAUCACACGCUGCCCCGUUUGAUUGUGAUGGGCCCUGAAAGCCAGGAGACAUACGUGGCUGUAACAACAUCAAUGCGCUUCGCCAGGUUUUCAAGUCAGGGACGUGUCUUAUUAUAAUUACUACCUAUGUGUAUUUAUUUUGCUCCAGAGACACAAAUUGUCACGGUGCUCCACAAGCGUUUUUUGUUUCCUCCCUCUGUCCUGUCCACCUUGGAGGGGAGAAGGCAGUUUGGGAAGAAGGCAAGCGCGGUGGUUGAGGUAGUGGAGGUGGGGGGUGGAGGGGUGGAGGG
ensembl:lncRNA